UUACAAAGUAAAAUAACUAUAACGCACUCUUCAUUUAUUUUUCAUCACCUUCCUUGUAUGUGUGAAUAGUCACACUGAGGCACAACUAUAUUUAAUCCUUGUUUAAGUCAGCUUCUGUCAACAUAAGCUGCAGAGCAAAGCCGAGACAGUAAAACCUCACCCAGGAGUGGAAGAGAUUGUAGCAUGAAUUCCACCAACUCCCCACCUUUCAGGGCACAAAACCAAGCCCCGUGCCGCAGUGCCUGGGACGUGACCAGGAGGGCAUUCCUCAGCGGGCUUUUGGUUCAUAAGACGAUGUCCUCUCCCGGCAGAAAGUCAGCUGACAGUUUCCUGGUUACAGUGGGACGCCAAGGGAGCUGCCACCAAGUGAGAAUGCUGGAUGUUAGAAGCAAAACCUUGAACAACCUUGGCAUUUGGCGGAGAACCAAUACAGACUGGCAUGCCAGAGUUGCGUGCUCAUAACAGCCCUUCGUUCCCAAUAGCCCUUCAUUCCCGGAAAACAGCCUGAGGAGGUACCAUUACCUUGUGCUGCACUUACAGUGACUGGCUGUACCUGCUGGCGUUUCCUGGAAAAUGAAAAAUACAUGUUUUGGUGAUAUUCUUUAAUGGACACAGAUACAAUGCUUGCAGCAGCUGUGCCCCAAGCUCCAUGUUAGCAGGCAGCUGACCCAUAACGUAUGAAGUCAAAAGAGAAAAACCAAGAGACGCUUCCAUAGACCUUAUAAGGACAUUUGCGAACGUUUACUGGUUCUGGGAAGACAAAAAAAAAAAAAAAAAAAAAGAAGAGGUGCUUGUGGAACAAGCUGGAGAAGACAAGUGCGAACAAAUACA